UAGUGACGAACCCCGCUGAGGUUUGCUCCAGGUCAGGUGUCUCCUGGGAGGAAACCAUGACACACGCAUCGUGUCAUCUGUGUUUUCAUUUGAAUGUUUUUGGCCUCUAGAAUCACCACCGUCAACUUCCCUGCAGUGGGCACAAACCUCAAGGACAAACAUACGUCUCCAAGCCGCUCGCUCUGUCACAGGGAAGAAGAAGGAUAAAGAGUCCCUCCACUCCUGCAGAGACUGGCUGAAGUCCACGCUGCUCAUCGGUAUUUUCACAUCUCCUAUAGCAUCGUGCUUUGAGAAACGGUCAAAGUCGUACACCGUCAUCACCAGUGUCUUCCCGCCCAGCUCAGUGAUAUGCAAACUGCUGUCUCUGCCAAACCUGCUGACAUGAAGGGGAGAGGGCAGGACUCGAGAGGAGGAGGCGAGGGAGACGCAGAGUAGAAGCGUCACACGUGGACCUCUGCUGUUCCUCUGUGAGCAGCCAGAGGUGAUGAUCGUGUACCAAGGUCAUGCUCUGUGCACAUUAACAAAGGAUCGAAGCCAAGACUGAACUCUGAAAUAAUGUUGUGAUAUGUUAUUUUCCACUCCGCAGUAAUCAGGAUGUGGGGCUGAAUCAGCAGAUGUGAUCUCAGACUUUACACUGGAUACUUUACCAUUUUUUUCUGGAAAGAUAAUCUCACAUGUUACAGUUGUCUGAUACUGAUCGUGUAUUUUGAACAAUAUUUCAGAUUCUGAUUUGGUCUUUUGAAAGUGUUUAGGAAUGUUUGUUAUGCCAAUAUGAAACAAACAUUACACAAUUACCUACGCAUUCACAAAGUAAUUAUUUACUAAUUAUUUAUGAAUAUUAGUAAAUGUAUAAAUCAUAUUUUUCUCAUUUUUACUGCAGACUCAGGUUAUAGGGAAAGAUUGUCGCACCAUAUAGACCUAACUUCGGUUGUUAAUGCAGCUUUACACUUAAUCCAGCAAG